rnacentral:rRNA from 1 species
UACGUAGGGCGCAAGCGUUGUCCGGAAUUAUUGGGCGUAAAGAGCUCGUAGGCGGCUUGUCACGUCGGAUGUGAAAGCCCGGGGCUUAACCCCGGGUCUGCAUUCGAUACGGGCAGGCUAGAGUGUGGUAGGGGAGAUCGGAAUUCCUGGUGUAGCGGUGAAAUGCGCAGAUAUCAGGAGGAACACCGGUGGCGAAGGCGGCUCUCUGGGACGGUACUGACGCUGAGACGCGAAAGCGUGGGGAGCGAACAGG